rnacentral:rRNA from 1 species
GACGAACGCUGGCGGCGUGCUUAACACAUGCAAGUCGAACGGAAAGGCCCUGCUUUUGUGGGGUGCUCGAGUGGCGAACGGGUGAGUAACACGUGAGUAACCUGCCCUUGACUUUGGGAUAACUUCAGGAAACUGGGGCUAAUACCGUAUAGGAGCUCCUGCUGCAUGGUGGGGGUUGGAAAGUUUCGGCGGUUGGGGAUGGACUCGCGGCUUAUCAGCUUGUUGGUGGGGUAGUGGCUUACCAAGGCUUUGACGGGUAGCCGGCCUGAGAGGGUGACCGGCCACAAUGGGACUGAGAUACGGCCCAGACUCCUACGGGAGGCAGCAGUGGGGAAUAUUGCACAAUGGGCGGAAGCCUGAUGCAGCAACGCCGCGUGCGGGAUGACGGCCUUCGGGUUGUAAACCGCUUUCGCCUGUGACGAAGCGUGAGUGACGGUAAUGGGUAAAGAAGCACCGGCUAACUACGUG